ACGGGUGAGUAAUGCCUAGGAAUCUGCCUGGUAGUGGGGGAUAACGUUCGGAAACGAACGCUAAUACCGCAUACGUCCUACGGGAGAAAGCAGGGGACCUUCGGGCCUUGCGCUAUCAGAUGAGCCUAGGUCGGAUUAGCUAGUUGGUGAGGUAAUGGCUCACCAAGGCGACGAUCCGUAACUGGUCUGAGAGGAUGAUCAGUCACACUGGAACUGAGACACGGUCCAGACUCCUACGGGAGGCAGCAGUGGGGAAUAUUGGACAAUGGGCGAAAGCCUGAUCCAGCCAUGCCGCGUGUGUGAAGAAGGUCUUCGGAUUGUAAAGCACUUUAAGUUGGGAGGAAGGGCAGUUACCUAAUACGUAAUUGUUUUGACGUUACCGACAGAAUAAGCACCGGCUAACUCUGUGCCAGCAGCCGCGGUAAUACAGAGGGUGCAAGCGUUAAUCGGAAUUACUGGGCGUAAAGCGCGCGUAGGUGGUUCGUUAAGUUGGAUGUGAAAUCCCCGGGCUCAACCUGGGAACUGCAUUCAAAACUGUCGAGCUAGAGUAUGGUAGAGGGUGGUGGGAAUUUCCUGUGUAGCG
rnacentral:rRNA from 1 species